AUUGAACGCUGGCGGCAGGCCUAACACAUGCAAGUCGAGCGGAUGAAGGGAGCUUGCUCCUGGAUUCAGCGGCGGACGGGUGAGUAAUGCCUAGGAAUCUGCCUGGUAGUGGGGGAUAACAUCCGGAAACGGGCGCUAAUACCGCAUACGUCCUGAGGGAGAAAGUGGGGGAUCUUCGGACCUCACGCUAUCAGAUGAGCCUAGGUCGGAUUAGCUAGUUGGUGGGGUAAAGGCCUACCAAGGCGACGAUCCGUAACUGGUCUGAGAGGAUGAUCAGUCACACUGGAACUGAGACGCGGUCCAGACUCCUACGGGAGGCAGCAGUGGGGAAUAUUGGACAAUGGGCGAAAGCCUGAUCCAGCCAUGCCGCGUGUGUGAAGAAGGUCUUCGGAUUGUAAAGCACUUUAAGUUGGGAGGAAGGGCAGUAAGUUAAUACCUUGCUGUUUUGACGUUACCAACAGAAUAAGCACCGGCUAACUUCGUG
rnacentral:rRNA from 1 species